rnacentral:misc_RNA from 1 species
GAUGAAGAACGCAGCAAAAUGCGAUACUUGGUGUGAAUUGCAGAAUCCCGUGAACCAUCGAGUUUUUGAACGCAAGUUGCGCCCGAAGCCUUUUGGCCGAGGGCACGUCUGCCUGGGCGUCACGCAUCGCGUCGCCCCCCACAAUUCUCCGUAAAGGGAACAUGUGUUUUGGGGGCGGAUAUUGGUCUCCCGUGCUCAUGGCGUGGUUGGCCGAAAUAGGAGUCCUUUCGAUGGACGCACGAACUAGUGGUGGUCGUAAAAGCCCUCGUCUUUUGUUUCGUGCUGUUGCUCGCAAGGUAAACUCUUUAAAAACCCCAAUGUGUCGUCUCUUGACGACGCUUCGACCGCGACCCCAGGUCAGGCGGGACUACCCGCUGAGUUUAAGCAUAUCAAUAAGCGGAGGA